UUUGACCCGCGUUAGGGAUUGCAGCGGCAUCCUUUUUAAUACUUAACUUAACCAAAGAAGUUUUUAAACUAGACAGUAGCAGUUUGCCACGUCACUAACUCCUCGCAAUGACAUAUUAAAAAGGUACAGCGCAAAGCCCAACCCCUU
rnacentral:sRNA from 1 species